CCCUAAUGACUUUGUGAGUCAAGUGAGGCUGCUUCUCUCUCCGUCACUGUGAGCACAUCCUGUUUCCGUCAGCACAGGAAGUGUAGCCUCCGUGCAAUCAGCCAGGACUGUCCAGGUUCUGAGGGAUGUGGUCUCACUGCUCGGCUCCCUGCAGAGAACUCACAGAAAAAGGAAGCCAUUGAAGUUACACGAGAUGUUGUCUACCUGCAGGCUCUGGAAGAGGAACGCUGUGUUGAGGAGGAAUGCCACAGAGAGGGAAAAUCUGAAUUGAGUUUGUCAUGUAGUUAAAGCAUGAAGGUACUCUGCAGAUGUAAAGGCCCUUUGAGCCUCUCAAGACAGCCAUUGUGCAAUUUAUAAAUGACAGUCAAGGCGCAUUUUGGUUCUUUUCAUUGUGAAUUAAAAACUUU